rnacentral:pre_miRNA from 1 species
AAAGUACUCCCUCCGUCCCAAAAUUCUUGUCUUAGAUUUGUCUAGAUACAAAUGUAUCAAGUCACAUUUUAGUAUUAGAUACAUCAGUAUCUAGACAAAUCUAAGACAAGAAAUUUGGGACAGAGGGAGUAGUUG